GGCCUGGUGCAUGGGUGGGGGGCACAGCAUCAGGUCCCCUGUCAUGCGCUGAUGGGUGGGGGGCAUCGCCUUAGGUCCCCUGUCAAGCCCCACUGAGCGGGAGUGCAGGGCGCAGCC